rnacentral:rRNA from 1 species
GACGUAGGUGGCGAACGUUAUCCGGAAUUAUUGGGCGUAAAGGGUGCGUAGGCGGCAUGAUAAGUUAUUGGCGGGAAAUCGAGGCUCAACCUCGUGGAAACUAAUAAUACUGUUUUGCUUGAGUACAGGAGAGGUUAACGGAACUCCAUGUGGAGCGGUAAAAUGUGUAGAUAUAUGGAAGAACAUCAAUAACGGCGAAGGCAGUUAACUAUUCUGUUGCUGACGUUGAGGCACGAAAGCGUGGGGAGCAAAACGG